CUGUGAUUGUGAUGUGAUUUCGUAGCUUCUGAAACAAAACACUGCCAUCCUUCGAAAUCUGCACUUUGUUGAAUUUUGGAACUCCCUGCUGCAGGCCCUGUUAGCUGUUAAACAACCAGUGGAUGGUGACAGUUGGCCUUCUUGGUGGUAGCCCCUGCCCUCUGAACACCUGCUUUCAGGUAAUUUGUGAGGUGGAAAAGUAGUUACCUUUGACCUCUUUUCUAUGAACUUUUAAUAGUCUGCCUUUUAAAAAUACAGUGGUACCUCGAGUUAAGAACUUAAUUCGUUCUGGAGGUCCAUUCUUAACCUGAAACUGUUCUUAACCUGAGGUAUCACUUUAGCUAAUGGGGCCUCCUGCUGCCACCACACCGCUGACACGCAAUUUCUGUUCUCAUCCUGAGGUAAAGUUCUUAACCAGAGAUACUAUUUCUGGGUUAGCGGGGUCUGUAACCUGAAGUGUCUGUAACCUGAAGCGUUUGUAACCCGAGGUACCACUGUAGUACCGUUAGUGGGAGGAAAUAACCACAAGGACAUACGGUGAUAUCUGAAAUGUGGCAUGUAACUUGAUGCAGAUAGCACCAACUAAAUGUGACGGUCAGAGUCAUGAGUAGUAGUUGUAGUAAUAGUAGUAGUAGUAGUACUAAUAAUAGUAAUAAUAAUAAUAGUAGUAGGUAAAAGGUAAGGUAAAGGACUCCUGGACGGUUAAGUCCAGUCAAAGGCAACUAUGGGGUUCAGCACUCAUCUCGUUUUCAGACCAAGGGAGCCAGCGCUUGUCCACAGACAGCUGUCCGGGUCAUGUGGCCAGCAUGACUCAACCACUUCUGGCGAAAUGGAACACCGUGAUGGAAACCAGAGCGCACGGAAAUGCCGUUCACCUUCCCGCCCCAGCAGUUCCUAUUUAUCCACUUGCACUGGCAUGCUUUUGAACUGCUAGGUUGGCAGGAGCUGGGACGGAGUGAUGGGAGCUCACCCUGUUGCGGGGAUUCGAACUGCCGACCAGCCCAAGAGGCUCAGUGGUUUAGAGCACAGUGCCUAAUAAUAAUAAUACAUUUCUAUCCUGCCCUUCCUCCCAGGGCAGGAAACACCAAUAUGGUAAACUGUAAAAGAUGCCCAGUGUAAACAACUCUGAAGAACAUAAGGCUAUACAAUGAGCCUGAUGGUCCUGGAUCAGACCAGUGGCCUGUUUAGGUCAGCAUCCUGCUCUCACAGUGGCAGAUGCCUGUGGGAACUCCCAAGACAACUCUCAAGACCUACAUUUUGGACUUCAGCACCUUUCUUCCUGUUUCCCUAUGCCAGUUUUUUAAAUAAGCGACUUGUACUGUAGGAAGCUCCAGUGGUGUGUGUGUGUGUGUGUGUGUGUGUGUGUGUGUGUGUGUGUUGGCUUUUAAAAAACAACUUUAUUUGUAUUUUUUUCUUGUUGUUGUUAACUGCCCCGGGUGCCAUGUGUAGAAUGGCAUGGCAUAAAUUGAAAUAAAGGAAGGAAGUCUGUUGAGAAUCAUCGAUGCUCCACAAAGACACUGCCAAGCAGUUUCCCUGGGCUCCCCCAUGGUUUUUAACACAGUAGGGCAGCAUUUAGCCUUAUAUAAACACAGAUAAGAUAAAUGGUUUAUUGUCGCACAGUAGGUAUUGCCUGCUCUAUCAGCCACCAUCGUGAAGCCUGAGCUGAUAGCUGCUGCAAGAUACUUUAAUGUUACUGAUAUCUCCUCUCUUUUCUUCUCUCCUCUCCCACUCUCUUCUUUAAAAAAAAAAAAAGUCAUUUAUUUUGGGUUCACAUGAUGGGUCAAAGUAACCAACCUGCCUCCUAUAUUUCAUGCCCGUUAUCUGGGAUCAGGAGAGGGAAGAUGGGAGUUGUUAAGAAGCUGCUUUGUCCAUUCCAGUAUCAUUAAGCCAGAAUUGUGUGUGUGUGUGUGUGUGUGUGUGUGUGUGUGUGUGUGUGUAAUAGGAGCAUUUCACCCAAUAUCACAAGAGAACCUGGAUUUACCCCUUACAGUUUUGAACACACACAGCCUUCCUUACAGGACUCCUAUUGCUUUAAGAAUUGCUUACGAAGGUGGUGUUGGAUUUGAGGAGGUCCUACCCUUGCUGGGGAAAGCCUGGCUAAUAUAUAUAUUUUUAAUGGCCUAUUAUGUAGAUGCUAAAGUCACAAGAGCACUGUCAGAAUAAAAACAACAACAACCUGUGCACAUUUGCUGAGACGGCUCUGUCCUUCGUUAUUACAUCCGGGGCUUAACCCUGCUAAACUAACUCAAUUUUAAAUUAAGCCCUGUGGCUUCUCGCCUGUUUUCACCUGGAGUUCAUGCAGGUCACAUCCUUAUCAUAUAUUUAAAGUGCUCUCACAUUACUUCAACACUUGCAGCCUCCUCCUGCCCCCAAAUAAUCACGGCAAGUGCAAUUUGUUAAGGAUAUUAGGAAUUGUAGCAGUACGAAGGGGUCUCCUAACGGCUCUCAGCACCCUAAAUAAACUGCAGUUCCCAUAAUACUUUGGGGGGAAGGUAAUGACCGUUAAAGUGGUAUUAAAAGCCCUUGAAAUGAAAGGUGUGGAUUUGAGCUAGUAUUGGGUGGCAUCCCAAAAUGGAUGCUGUGGGUGUCCUCCUGCAAUAUCUGGACUGUGGGUGAGAUAUUCAAGAACUGUUCUAGCAGCCCAGGGAAAUGCCCAAUCUACUUGUGGCAGCUCUGCCACAGCCAUGUUCUGAAGAGCAGCUUUGACAAGAUAGUCACCAAUUAACAGAUGAAAUCUAUCAAGUCCCUACACAGCACCAUAGCCCUCUAUGAACCUGCCAACUCUUUGUUAGCAGCCUCUGGACUCCUGCUCUCUCUUCCAAAUAAUACAGAAGAAGAUAAGGAGAGCCCGCAGGGUCAGAUGAAUGACCCAUCUAGUCCAGCAUCCUGAUCUCACAGUGGCCACCAAGAUACCUGUGUGGGAAAUCAAUAAUAACAAUGACAAUGACAAUAAUAAUAAUAAUAAUAAUAAUAAUAAUAAUAAUAAUAAUAAUAAUUUUAUUAUUUGUACCCCGCCCAUCUCUGGGCAGCUUCCAGCAUAUAUAAAAGCAUAGUGAAACCUUAAAAAGCUUCCCUAUACAAGGCUUCUUUCAGAUGUCUUCUAAAAAUCAGAUAGCUGUUUUACAGUGGUACCUUGGGUUAAGAACUUAAUUCAUUCUGGAGGUUCGUUCUUAACCUGAAACUGUUCUUAACCUGAGGUACCACUUUAACUAAUGGGGUCUCCCGCUGCUGACGUGCUGCCGCCACACAAUUUCUGUUCUCAUCCUGAAGCAAAGUUCUUAACCCAAGGUACUAUUUCUGGAUUAGCGGAGUUUGUAACCUGAAGCGUCUGUAAGCCAAGGUACCACUGUAUUUCCUUGACUUCUGAUGGGAGGGCGUUCCACAGGGCGGACGCCACUACCGAGAAGGUCCUCUUCCUGGUUCCCUGUAACCUUACUUCUCACAGUGAGGGAACCACCAGAAGGCCCUCGACGCUGGACCUCAGUAUACAGGCUGAACAAUGGGGAUGGAGACGUUUCUUCAGGUACUGGGCCAAGACUGUUUAGAACUGUUUAUUGUGUUCAGAAGUGUUACUGUCUUCAACUGUGGAGGCACAGCAUAGCCAGCAGAUUAUGCUAGAACCUGGACCUAACCUGGACCAUCGUUUUAGAUGGUCAUCGGAAGGGAUGAAGGACACCAUAAACAUUUCUUCCUCACCCUCCCAUGUCCUACAACAGCCUCUACAUUCCUGAUGCUUUUAAAAAGUAAAGCUUGCUCACCCUGGUAAACGUAGGGAUACUCUUAGCAUGUGAAUUUGGGUUUUUUUAAAAAUUCAUUUUAAUAAUAGCACCAUCUGGACAAGAGGAACAUAAUGGGGUUUGCUGCUGCUGCUGCCCUGUUGCUAAACACAUUUACUUGGGGGGGGGGACAUAAUUUUCUUGUGGAAAAGAUUAAUAUAUAAUUUAAAGUAAAUACAUAUUAUUGUUUACUUUUAUUUUAAGAGGGAGAGACAAAGAAAGAAAGAAAGAGAGAGAGAGAGAGAGAGAGAGAGAGAGAAAGAAAGAAAGAAAGAAAGAAAGAAAGAAAGAAAGAAAGAAAGAAAGUAAGUUGUGGUAACCAGCAUCAGCCCUGGUGAACCUGAAUAUGCCCAUGCCAGCCCAGAUGCUAAUGCCAGGCCUGCUUGCCACUGCCCCCAUCAUCUGAUACUGUAUGGCUAGUCAUCCUCUAUCCACCCAAGUGUUUUUUUUCCCCCUGGGGGUACUCAUGGGUACACAGUACAGUGGUACCUCGGGUUACAGACGCUUCAGGUUACAGACUCCGCUAACCCAAAAAUAAUACCUCGGGUUAAGAACUUUGCUUCAGGAUGAGAACAGAAAUCACGCAGCGGCAGUGGGAGGCCACAUUAGCUAAAGUGGUGCUUCAGGUUAAGAACAGUUUCAGGUUAAGAACAGACCUCCAAAACGAAUUAAGUUCUUAACCUGAGGUACCACUGUACCAGCACUCUCUCCCCUCCCCAAAUGUUAAAAGUUUCAUAGAAUCAUAGAGUUUGAAGGGACCUCAAGGGCCAUCUAGUCCAAACCCCUGCAGUGCAGGAGUCUUUUGCCCAAUGUGGGACUCAAACCCACAACCCUGAGAUUACGAGUCUCAUACUCUACCGACUGAGCUAUCCUGUGAGUGUGGCACUUACUGUAACAACUUCAUGGUGAGUGCUGGCACCUUUUUCUCUCUCCCCCUCUCUCUGCACUGUAUUUUAUUAUGUAAGAUACUGAGAGUAUUUCAACUAGAUUUGUGUGUAGGUAGGUAGUUUCAUUUAUUUAUUUUUUUACAAUUGCUAUAAUAGGCAGAAAAAUCAUUGAGUGACCGCCAAGGCCCUCAUCCAUUUUCAAGUGGUUCAUUGGGGGAAAGGAUUGGGAACUACUGGUCUGCACUGACUGACAGCAGCUCUCCAGGGUUUCAGACUGGAGACAUUCUCAGGCCUACCUAGAAGGCCUACCUCUGCAUGCAAAGCUUUGCCACAUUCACCCCUAGGUAUGUGGUCGUGGUAUGCUACCAACCCUACCCUGAACAUAUUAAGGCAUAAACGAGUCCUGCUGAUUUCAGCGAAACUUAUUUCCAAGCAAGGGUGCUUAUGAUUGCACACAUUUCUUUGAAAAAAUAUUGAAUGAAAUCACAAACAGGACCAUUAACAUUUUCAUCGUUAACUUCUUGUGGAAAUGAGUUUCGUUCACCAAGGCCAUGGGUAGGCAAACUAAGGCCCGGGGGCCGGAUCCGGCCCAAUCACCUUCUAAAUCCAGCCCGUGGAUGGUCCAGGAAUCAGCGUGUUUUUACAUGAGUAGAAUGUGUCCUUUUAUUUAAAAUGCAUAUUAUUAAAAUGCAAAAUUAAAAUCCUUUUUAUUUAAAAUGGGUUAUUUGUGGGGCAUAGGAAUUCAUUUUUUUUCCAAAAUAUAGUCUGGCCCCCCACAAGGUCUGAGGGACAGUGGACCGGCCCCCUGACCAAGACACACAAGCAAUCACUUUUUAUAUUUUGGAUAAGGCCGUCAUACAGCGGACUCUGCCCGCCUUCCCAUUUCUCCCUUCUCUCCAAUAUUUAUUUAAAAUGCAUCAUGUGGUUGCUAAUCUAGGGAUGCAGAACCCCUAAAAUGAGCAUGCUGGCUGUUUCCACAUCAGCCUCCUCCUUUUCUGUUCUACACUUUCCCCCUAGAGGAUGUGAGACGUUGUCUUGAAGCAGAAGCUGAUUUCUGCGUGUGGGUGUGCUUUAAAGUGAUUUUGGUUCCUGGCUUCAUCUGCCUGUUAUAUGGGAAAGCAAGGGCAGCGUAUGAUGCAGUGCUGCUCUAUCGCUUGAUCCAAUUUCUUGCAGGUACAAUGGACCCAACAGACACACAUCUUUGCUGCCUGAAAAGCCUCAGCCUUUCAGUUCAAUGGAUGAGGCAGUCUUCUGCAGACAUCCCUUCUUUGCUCUUGAAGAGAUGGAAGUCUCCUCCACUGCACUGAAGCAAAUGGAGAAGACAGAAUAUGCAGGACCUCCCCAUGCCCACUGGAGAAUAUGUAGGGCUUAUCUCUUAGUACU